rnacentral:rRNA from 1 species
UACGUAGGGGGCAAGCGUUGUCCGGAAUCAUUGGGCGUAAAGCGCGUGUAGGCGGUCCGGUAAGUCCGCUGUGAAAGUCGGGGGCUCAACCCUCGGAUGCCGGUGGAUACUGUCGGGCUUGAGUACGGAAGAGGCGAGUGGAAUUCCUGGUGGUAGCGGUGAAAUGCGCAGGAUAUCAAGGAGGAACACCAAUUGCGAAGGCAGCUCGCUGGGACGUUAACUGACGCUGGAGACGCGAAAGCGUGGGGAGCAAACAGGAUAG